rnacentral:rRNA from 1 species
AGCGAACGCUGGCGGCAGGCCUAACACAUGCAAGUCGAACGAACCCUUCGGGGUUAGUGGCGGACGGGUGAGUAACACGUGGGAACGUGCCUUUAGGUUCGGAAUAACUCAGGGAAACUUGUGCUAAUACCGAAUGUGCCCUUCGGGGGAAAGAUUUAUCGCCUUUAGAGCGGCCCGCGUCUGAUUAGCUAGUUGGUGAGGUAAUGGCUCACCAAGGCUACGAUCAGUAGCUGGUCGGGGAGGAUGACCAGCCACAUUGGGACUGAGACACGGCCCAAACUCCUACGGGAGGCAGCAGUGGGGAAUCUUGCGCAAUGGGCGAAAGCCUGACGCAGCCAUGCCGCGUGGAUGAUGAAGGUCUUAGGUUUGUAAAAUCCUUUCACCGGUGAAGUUAAUGACUGUAGCCGGAGAAGAGGCCCCGGCUAACUUCGUGCCAGCCGCCGCCGUAACAC